rnacentral:misc_RNA from 1 species
AAUUGCUCGCCAUUUUGAGUACUUUUCACGCUGAAGCAUAACCCAGAAUGCAAAGCUGCAUGAAAGAUGGCGGCAAUUAGGGCAUGGUAUGGUCCACUAUAGAGACAUAGAAAAAACGUUAAUGACUGGAAUCAAGGGCAGUGUGUAGAUGUAAUGGUCAAGUGGAUCUUAUGUCAUGAUGAAUAUAAAGAAUGGUUGGCUGAAAAAUGUCAUAGAAGAUGUAGAUGUACCAGUAAGUUGCUGAAGCUACUUUUGGGUCCACCCUUGAACUUUUGGGAAAUUCGAAAGACGGCACGGGGCGAAUUCGAGAAGUAGAUAGAGUAUAAAAGACAGCCUGCAGAUUCUGAAUUCGAGGCAGUCUUACUGUUUACAGUAUUCACUUCAGCCAAUAUUAAUAGUAAGACCAGUGCAAGACAAAAAAAUGAAUUUGUUGUGCAGAGAAGUUUGAAAGGUGACAUUUGUCUUGUUGCUGGUCCUGACGAGUUAGUAUUUUUACUGAGGGGUCCCAAACAAUUACAGAACUUAACAAAUUUGCUGCCAAAAGUGUUUUACAAGGAAACAUUGCAAC